UCGUCCGAGUGUAUUUGAACGCAGCACAACAGCUGACUGCUGGAGUAGGGUAGGUGGACAGCUGAGCAGACUUUGGACAUCAGAGGAGGGAACCGACGCUGAGGUUUUCCAGAAGGACACCACGGCCUUCACAGUUCAGCUGAGAGGAAACGUCUGAUGCUUUAGUGAAAAGAUGAGAGAAGAUGGAGAAGAAGGUUGCUGGUAGAAAUGAGGAGGAAGGAGUUAAAGCAUGCUGACAUGAGAAGAGGGUGAGGUGGCCUGGGGGGAGGAGAAAAGAAAGAGCGGAGAAAGAGAGAAGCAGACGUGGAGGAGCGAUGCACUACUCUCUGUCUUGGAAUUUUACAUUUUGAUGAAGGAGGAAGCACGUCAGCCAAUCAGAGAGGCGGGAGCUGGAGCGGACCAUCGCGGCUCAGACAGCAGGGGGGUUCGGGGUCGGCUCGGCGGGCCGCCUGCCCGCCCUGCGGCUCGACGUCCCCGUGUCUCGUGGUGGCAGGUGGUACGACCCAGCGGGCAGGAUAAAAGCCCCCUCCUCUGGCUGUGGUCCCCCCCACCACCACCCCCCGUUCUGACAGUGUUAGGGUGUAGCUACAGAUGCUGUACUACAGCAGAAGACAGUGAGAGGAGUGGAAGGGAGGAGGGACAAACCGGGCUCAUUCCCACAACGACCAGCUCCAGGGGGGCCGCCAGCACCCGCUCCUCUGCUUCACCAGUCAUCCCACCCACCCAUCCAGCUGGCGGGGCCACCUGCAGGAGUCAUCAGGAUGCAGAGCUGAGUCUGUGCCCCCCGGGGAGGGCUCGCCCAAGUGGAAUGCUCUGGUUCUCCCUCCGUCAGAGCGCCAUCUGCUGACUCGGUGCGGAGGGACAGCUGGUGUUGUGAAUCAGGCCGCCACAGUCCAGGGACCGGCUACUUCCCAACACCAGGGUCUCAUCGCCGCCGCUCACGCCGCAGACCUCACAGGGUCUGAUGACAUUCCCAGCUUUGGUUCCUGAUGCUCCGGCUCUGAUGUAGAUGAUAAAACAUCCUAAAUAAAUGUGCUUUUGUUUUGAAUAAAACUCAAAUAGAUAUAUCA